UACGAAGGGGGCUAGCGUUGUUCGGAAUCACUGGGCGUAAAGCGCACGUAGGCGGCUUUCUAAGUCGGGGGUGAAAUCCUGGAGCUCAACUCCAGAACUGCCUUUGAUACUGAAAGUCUUGAGUAUGGGAGAGGUGAGUGGAACUGCGAGUGUAGAGGUGAAAUUCGUAGAUAUUCGCAAGAACACCAGUGGCGAAGGCGGCUCGCUGGCUCGAUGACUGACACUGAGGUGCGAAAGCGUGGGGAGCAAACAGG
rnacentral:rRNA from 1 species